CUUUCUGCCUCCAAAUAGCACAAUCAUUACAGCCUGACAGAUGGGGCCUUUGCUUUCAUUUCAGGCGCUCCCCUCGCCUUCAGGAAACCAGAGAUGAGCUACCCAACGCUUGCCACAAACUUUCCUAUUAACAGAUUAGUUUUGACAGAGCACCAAACCUGGUCCUGCACUGUCUCCGUGACGCCAGCAACCCCAGACAAAACAGAACUGCUUCUAGGGGCACGUGACACUGUUUCCAGGAAUCAGCAGAGGAAUGACAAUGGUGAAGGCAGGAUGGCCAGAAUGAAAUCAACACUUAUGUGGAGUGGGUAUCUUCUCUU
rnacentral:lncRNA from 1 species